AUUGAACGCUGGCGGCAUGCCUUACACAUGCAAGUCGAACGGCAGCACGGACUUCGGUCUGGUGGCGAGUGGCGAACGGGUGAGUAAUGUAUCGGAACGUACCUUUCAGUGGGGGAUAACGUAGCGAAAGUUACGCUAAUACCGCAUAUUCUGUGAGCAGGAAAGCAGGGGAUCGCAAGACCUUGCGCUGAUUGAGCGGCCGAUAUCAGAUUAGCUAGUUGGUGGUGUAAAGGCCUACCAAGGCUACGAUCUGUAGCGGGUCUGAGAGGAUGAUCCGCCACACUGGAACUGAGACACGGUCCAGACUCCUACGGGAGGCAGCAGUGGGGAAUUUUGGACAAUGGGGGCAACCCUGAUCCAGCCAUGCCGCGUGAGUGAAGAAGGCCUUCGGGUUGUAAAGCUCUUUCGGCCGGGAAGAAAUCGCAUCAGCUAAUACCUGGUGUGGAUGACGGUACCGGAAUAAGAAGCACCGGCUAACUACGUGCCAGCAGCCGCGGUAAUACGUAGGGUGCGAGCGUUAAUCGGAAUUACUGGGCGUAAAGCGUGCGCAGGCGGUUGUGUAAGACAGGCGUGAAAUCCCCGGGCUCAACCUGGGAACUGCGCUUGUGACUGCACAGCUAGAGUACGGCAGAGGGGGGUGGAAUUCCACGUGUAGCAGUGAAAUGCGUAGAGGUGUGGAGGAACACCGAUGGCGAAGGCAGCCCCCUGGGCCGAUACUGACGCUCAUGCACGAAAGCGUGGGUAGCAAACAGGAUUAGAUACCCUGGUAGUCCACGCCCUAAACGAUGUCAACUAGGUGUUGGGUGGGUAAAACCAUUUAGUACCGUAGCUAACGCGUGAAGUUGACCGCCUGGGGAGUACGGCCGCAAGGUUAAAACUCAAAGGAAUUGACGGGGACCCGCACAAGCGGUGGAUGAUGUGGAUUAAUUCGAUGCAACGCGAAAAACCUUACCUACCCUUGACAUGUCCAGAAGCCCGAAGAGAUUUGGGUGUGCCCGAAAGGGAACUGGAACACAGGUGCUGCAUGGCUGUCGUCAGCUCGUGUCGUGAGAUGUUGGGUUAAGUCCCGCAACGAGCGCAACCCUUGUCGUUAAUUGCCAUCAUUUAGUUGGGCACUUUAACGAGACUGCCGGUGACAAACCGGAGGAAGGUGGGGAUGACGUCAAGUCCUCAUGGCCCUUAUGGGUAGGGCUUCACACGUCAUACAAUGGUCGGUACAGAGGGUUGCCAAGCCGCGAGGUGGAGCCAAUCCCAGAAAGCCGAUCGUAGUCCGGAUUGCAGGCUGCAACUCGCCUGCAUGAAGUCGGAAUCGCUAGUAAUCGCGGAUCAGCAUGUCGCGGUGAAUACGUUCCCGGGUCU
rnacentral:rRNA from 1 species